rnacentral:rRNA from 1 species
AACGAACGCUGGCGGCAUGCCUAACACAUGCAAGUCGAACGAGACCUUCGGGUCUAGUGGCGCACGUGUGCGUAACGCGUGGGAACCUGCCCUUAGGUUCGGAAUAACUCCCCGAAAGGGGUGCUAAUACCGGAUAAUGUCUUCGGACCAAAGAUUUAUCGCCUUUGGAUGGGCCCGCGUUGGAUUAGCUAGUUGGUAGGGUACAAGCCUACCAAGGCGACGAUCCAUAGCUGGUCUGAGAGGAUGAUCAGCCACACUGGGACUGAGACACGGCCCAGACUCCUACGGGAGGCAGCAGUGGGGAAUAUUGGACAAGGGGCGAAAGCCUGAUCCAGCAAUGCCGCGUGAGUGAUGAAGGCCUUAGGGUUGUAAAGCUCUUUUACCCGGGAUGAUAAUGACAGUACCGGGAGAAUAAGCUCCGGCUAACUCCGUG